AGACUCACGUGACAUUAAACUUGAGCAGCUGGAUGGCCAGACUCUCACAGAAUCCCUCUAUGGCGAACUUUGACGCGGAGUAGACAUCAUUAAACGUCACACCUGUGAAGACCAACCCACGACACAGAGCAGAUCUUCUGUCUUCAUCCACAUGAAAGUCCCAUCACGCUGCUGAUGACGACGAUGUGUCCAGAGCGUCUCCUCUUCAUGUCGGGCAUGACCUCUUUAAUCAUGCGCACCGCACCAAAGAAAUUGGUCUCGAACACCUGCUUCAUGUCUUC